rnacentral:rRNA from 1 species
CCUGCACGAAUGGCGUAACGACUUCCCCGCUGUCUCAAAUGUGGACUCAGCGAAAUUGAACUGUCUGUCAAGAUGCAGACUUCCCGCGGUUAGACGGAAAGACCCCAUGAACCUUUACUCCAGCUUCGCACUGGCAUCAGGAUUGCGAUGUGCAGGAUAGGUGGUAGGCUUUGAAACCGGGACGCCAGUUCCGGUGGAGCCACCCUUGAGAUACCACCCUUCGCACUCUUGAUGUCUAACCGCGGCCCGUUAUCCGGGUCCGGGACCCUGCGUGGUGGGUAGUUUGACUGG